rnacentral:rRNA from 1 species
AAGCUUGCUUGUUGGGGUUGUAGGACACUCUAUACGGAGUUACAAAGGACGACAUUAGACGAAUCAUCUGGAAAGAUGAAUCAAAGAAGGUAAUAAUCCUGUAGUCGAAAAUGUUGUCUCUCUUGAGUGGAUCCUGAGUACGACGGAGCACGUGAAAUUCCGUCGGAAUCUGGGAGGACCAUCUCCUAAGGCUAAAUACUCUCUAGUGACCGAUAGUGAACCAGUACCGUGAGGGAAAGGUGAAAAGCACCCCGGAAGGGGAGUGAAAUAGAACCUGAAACCGUGUGCUUACAAGUAGUCAGAGCCCGUUAAUGGGUGAUGGCGUGCCUUUUGUAGAAUGAACCGGCGAGUUACGAUUUGAUGCAAGGUUAAGCAGUAAAUGUGGAGCCGUAGCGAAAGCGAGUCUGAAUAGGGCGUUUAGUAUUUGGUCGUAGACCCGAAACCAGGUGAUCUACCCUUGGUCAGGUUGAAGUUCAGGUAACACUGAAUGGAGGACCGAACCGACUUACGUUGAAAAGUGAGCGGAUGAACUGAGGGUAGCGGAGAAAUUCCAAUCGAACCUGGAGAUAGCUGGUUCUCUCCGAAAUAGCUUUAGGGCUAGCCUCAAGUGAUGAUUAUUGGAGGUAGAGCACUGUUUGGACGAGGGGCCCCUCUCGGGUUACCGAAUUC